rnacentral:rRNA from 1 species
GAGCGGUAGCACAGGAGAGCUUGCUCUCUGGGUGACGAGCGGCGGACGGGUGAGUAAUGUCUGGGAAACUGCCUGAUGGAGGGGGAUAACUACUGGAAACGGUAGCUAAUACCGCAUAAUGUCUUCGGACCAAAGUGGGGGACCUUCGGGCCUCAUGCCAUCAGAUGUGCCCAGAUGGGAUUAGCUAGUAGGUGGGGUAAUGGCUCACCUAGGCGACGAUCCCUAGCUGGUCUGAGAGGAUGACCAGCCACACUGGAACUGAGACACGGUCCAGACUCCUACGGGAGGCAGCAGUGGGGAAUAUUGCACAAUGGGCGCAAGCCUGAUGCAGCCAUGCCGCGUGUAUGAAGAAGGCCUUCGGGUUGUAAAGUACUUUCAGCGAGGAGGAAGGCGUUAAGGUUAAUAACCUUAGCGAUUGACGUUACUCGCAGAAGAAGCACCGGCUAACUCCGUG